rnacentral:rRNA from 1 species
AGCAGUCGCCGCGGUAAAACGAAGGGUGCAAGCGUUAAUCGGAAUUACUGGGCGUAAAGCGUGCGCAGGCGGUUUGUUAAGACAGAUGUGAAAUCCCCGGGCUCAACCUGGGAACUGCAUUUGUGACUGGCAAGCUAGAGUGUGGCAGAGGGGGGUGGAAUUCCGCGUGUAGCAGUGAAAUGCGUAGAUAUGCGGAGGAACACCGAUGGCGAAGGCAGCCCCAUGGGCCAACACUGACGCUCAUGCACGAAAGCGUGGGGAGCAAACAGGAUUAGAUACCCCAGUAGUCCCUGUCUCUUAUAC